rnacentral:rRNA from 1 species
AUAUUGGACAAUGGGCGAAAGCCUGAUCAAGCCAUGCCGCGUGUGUGAAGAAGGUCUGCGGAUUGUAAAGCACUUUACGUUGGGAGGAAGGGCAGUAAGUUCAUACCUUGCUGUUUUGACGCUACCGACAGAAUAAGCACCGGCCAACUCCGUGCCAGCAGCCGCGGUACUACGAAGGGUGCAAGCGUUAACCGGAAUUACUAGGCGUAAAGCGCGCGUAGGUGGGUUGUUAAGUUGGAAGUGAGAGCCCCGGGCUUAACCUGGGAACUGCUUUCAUAACUGCUGAGCUAGAGUACGGUAGAGGGUAGUGGAAUUUCCUGUGUAGCGGUGAAAUGCGUAGAUAUAGGAAGGAACACCAGUGGCGAAGGCGACUACCUGGACUGAUACUGACACUGAGGUGCGAAAGCGUGGGGAGCAAA